rnacentral:rRNA from 1 species
AACGCUAGCUACAGGCUUAACACAUGCAAGUCGCGGGGCAGCAUUUUCCUAGCUUGCUAGGGAAGAUGGCGACCGGCGCACGGGUGAGUAACGCGUAUCCAACCUUCCCAUGUCCACGGGAUAGCCCGUCGAAAGGCGGAUUAAUACCGUAUGAGGUCACAUGCGGGCAUCUAACUGUGACGAAAGGUUUGGCGGACAUGGAUGGGGAUGCGUCCGAUUAGCUAGUUGGCGGGGUAACGGCCCACCAAGGCGACGAUCGGUAGGGGUUCUGAGAGGAAGAUCCCCCACAUUGGAACUGAGACACGGUCCAAACUCCUACGGGAGGCAGCAGUGAGGAAUCUUGGUCAAUGGGCGCAAGGCCUGAACCAGCCACGUAGCGUGAAGGAAGACUGCCCUAUGGGUUGUAAACUGCUUUUAUGUGGGGAUAAAGUUCGGGACGUGUCCUGAUUUGCAGGUACCACAUGAAUAAGGACCGGCUAAUUCCGUGCCAGCAGCCGCGGUAAUACGGAAGGUCCGGGCGUUAUCCGGAUUUAUUGGGUUUAAAGGGAGCGUAGGCUGUCUGGUAAGCGUGUUGUGAAAUGUAGGCGCUCAACGUCUGAAUUGCAGCGCGAACUACCGGACUUGAGUGCGCAGGAAGUAGGCGGAAUUUGUGGUGUAGCGGUGAAAUGCUUAGAUAUCACGAAGAACUCCGAUUG